AGAAGAUCAUCCUUCAGUUUGCACCCUCGCUACGAUGCGCUGCGAAAACACAGCCGAGUAAUCAUUAGCAUCUUCUUCUUCUCGAUGGGAAGCAAGACUUAGGAGCAUUUCCCUACACGGCUCCACAACAAUCCCAUCAGCCCCUAAUCAGGCCUGGAUCAGGCCUGGACCAGAAAAGCAGCUCCAUCCUCAGCCCACCUCCAUCCACAUGCUCAGGCUAUGACGCAGCUGCAGGACAAUGGAAGGAUAUUGAAAUGCGUUGGUGUCUCCAAGAAAGUCCCCACAAUCAUCUGCCAGCUUUGGCCAUGAGGUGAAUAUAGAAUGCUGGAAGG
ensembl:lncRNA